rnacentral:rRNA from 1 species
GUCUACAGCCUUGCCACCCUGAACAAGCCUGAUGUCUGAUCUCGGAAGCUAAGCAGGGUUGGGCCUGGUUAGUACUUGGAUGGGAGACCACAUAGAAAGACCAGGUGCUGUAGGCA